rnacentral:lncRNA from 1 species
GGGAACACAUCUAAAUAUUCAUUCACUACUGGGACUGAUUCAAGACUGGGAGUUUUGGAACUAGAGUCCUUAACUCGAAUAAGAUGAUAGACACAUCCCUUGGAUAUCAUUUUUCUUUCCCUUAGGUAGGAAAUAAGCUGACCCCUGAAGGCUGAAGUAUUACCUCUCCACUCUAGGAUGGGUUCAUUCAAAAACUAAAAAUGGACAAUUUUGUUUUUGCAGUUGACUG